GGGACAUCGCUGUGGCCAGCAAUUAGCUUAGCGCAGUGUGACGUGUCUGCUGCAAGAAUGCGGAAGAAGACAGGGCUGGAGGAUGGCAGAUUGAUUCCAGAGGCACCGGAGGAGUAGUAGGAGGUCUCGUAUUCUCUGAAAUCAAAGAAAAAAUCGGAAUGAAGUGGAGCUAUAAAUAGUAUACGCACCCUUUGAAGACUUGACCUCAAAUCCACUUUACUGGUUUUUCAUUGAGCAGAUAUGGAAGGAAACCAUGUUGGGAAAAAAAACAUACUGAUCCAAAAGGAGGUUGGAAAAAGGGGAAUGCACAAAGACUAUAAUGGAUGAGAAUGCGCUGACCUAGUGAGGAGAUGUCUGGGCGCCACAUUCUACAGACAGAAGUUUUAGCUGGAACAAGUCCUGGCGACUUGGGAGCCUGGCCAUGAAAGAAUUAUCACCCACCGGUCCUCCAGGACACAGUGACUGCGGAUGCAGUGACCCGGUAUGCUGGUGAUUCCUUUCCUGAUAACCUGUAAUUCAUUGGAUGUUCACAGUCCAGUUCCCAUUAGUGCUAAUAAA